ensembl:lncRNA
CAGCUCAUCUCUGUUCAAUCUAGCCACAUUUCAAAUGCUCAGUAUUCACCUGUGGUUGGUGGGCUCAGCUUUAAACACUUAGUAUCUGUUAUGGAUUGAAACAUGUUUCCUCAAAAUUCAGAUGUUGAAGACCUAAAUCCCAGUACCUCAGAAAGUGACCUGAUUUGGAGUUGAAGUCCUUACAGAGGAGACACCGGAGAUGCAAGUUUGAUCCCUGAGACAAGAAGAUCCCCUGGAGGAGGAAAUGGCAACCCAGUGCAGUCUUCUUGCCUGAAGAAUCCUAUGGACAGAGAAGCCUGGUGGGCUACAGUCUGUGGGGUCGUAAAGACUGGCUACGACUCGGCACACAAGCACACAAUAGUGCAGAAAGCAUCCUAAUCCAACGUGACUGAUGUACUUAAGCAGCAAGGACCUCUGGAGGAGACAGACUCACAUGCAGAGAGAGCGCCAUGUAAAGACAAAGACAGAGAUGACUGCUGCGCCUACAAGCCGAGGAGCACCAAAGACUGCUGGCAAGCAGAAGCUAGAAAGGGUAGACUCUUCCGCACAACCCCUCAGAAGGAACUAACCCUGCUGUCACCUUGAUCGUGGACUUGUAGCUUCCAGGUGUCUGAUAUCUGGAGAGGUUUCAAGCAGGAUGAUUUUUCAGUAGCAUCACGCUGCCUAAUCCCCGCGGAUGCCAUUUGUAUUGAAGUCUAUGUAAAUGGUGCCCCCUGCAGGAG